AAUCAUAACUGCAGGUUCUACACAUACUUAUUGUGGUAUCAGUGCUUUGAUGAGACGGAUACCAUCCUAUGGUCUACACUCCUUGAUUCUUCUGUAUUUCCACUUAUUGUUCCAAUUCCAUGGAUAACAGAGGAAAGUAACCUUGUUGCAUUCGGCAUAGAAAUGGGUAACAAUUUAAUACACCAAAGAAAACUACAAGAUCGUGGCCAUGGUAAACAAAUCGAUGAGAAUGCAAGACCAGGUGUAAGGCUUGAAGACCUUCCAUGGGACCUUGUAGUAUACAAAAUUUUAUCUAAAUUACCACUGAAAGAGGCUGCAAAAACUAGUGUUUUGUCUACCAAGUGGAGGUGCAUCUGGUUGACGUGCCCCAGAUUGUGUUUUGAUGGUCUUGCGAUGUUCAAAUGCGAAAGGGGUGAACUGUUCUUACACGCUCGGCAAUUCAUUGCUCAGGUUAAUGCUGUUUUGCAAAAAUACCAGGGAGAAGUGGUUGAGGAAUUUCAUAUCAGAUUUGAUUUUCACAGCAUACCAGCUCAUUAUCUUGAUAAUUGGGUUAUCUUUUCCUUGUCAUCUAAGAUGAAGAAUCUAGCUUUAGAUCUGCAAACCAAUGAUAUUGAACGAUAUCCUGCACGCUACAAAUUCCCCUUUGAACUUUUGGACAGUGGAAGCUUGUCCGGUCUACAACAUGUGCAGUUCAGUUUUGUAUCUAUCAAACCACCUUCCAAGUUCAGAGGUUUCCCUAACCUGAGAAAGCUUGAUCUGCAACUUCUAGAUGCCUCUUCAAAGGAUUUUGAAACUAUGCUGUCAAAUUGCAAACUUCUUGAAUGGCUAAGCAUGGACAGAUGCCGCCUGAAUGGUGAACUUAGGGUAGGUAGUCCAUUGCCCCGUCUGGUAUACCUACAAGUUGUGUACUGCCAAGUAACCAAGAUACAAUUCCAUGCUGUGGAGCUAGCUAAUUUUGUAUAUAAAGGAGACUUUGUGCCCAUAGCCCUCAAGCAUUCGUUGAAGCUGGAAAAUGCAAACAUCAGGUUAUAUAGUUUGAAUGAUCGGCAUGCUAUCAGUGACCUGGUAAAAUGUUUUCCGAACUUGCAAAAUCUGAAUUUUCACCUUUCUUGGAACGAUGCAGAGAUUCUGGGAUCGUGGAGACGGAUUUUUUUGUCUCUUUUCUCAGGGCUGCUCCUUUUAUUGAGAAGUUAGAGAUCCAUUUUUCCAUGAAUUUAUUAAUACUGGAUGAAUCGCAUGAGGACCAUCCUAUCAGGCAACAACUUGGACGCUGUGAAUACAAUAACCUGAAGAACAUGCGUAUCAUAGGAUAUAAAGGUUCAAGAGAUCAGGUCGAAUUUCUUCUACAUGUUGUGGAGAAUGCCCCUGCACUUGAGGUUUUAACUCUAGAGGCAGCUGGAAUAGAGUACCAGGAGGUUUCAUUUGUGUUGAAUGAAGCGUGGAUCGACAGAAUUACUCAGAGUGCCGAUAGAUCUGCUCUGAUUGCUCAACAGUAUCUGAGGGAGAAACUUAGCUCAAAGACACAGCUUUGUAUUAAGACUACUAGUUCCAGAUAGAGCUAGCGCUCUAUGCAAGCCAUGUGAAAAUAGCCAUUAGUGUAAGAUUAAUU
rnacentral:lncRNA from 1 species